GGUAUGGACGCAUACGCUGAGGCUGUGUACCCCUGCGUCGCCAAAAUGGCCCCGCUGUUAACAACAAAGUUAAAUCCGGAGUAUAUCGACACCAACGUCACAAAUCCUGGGGGAAUUUUUCAAGAUGGAGUGGACUGCGCGGCUAAGCACAAGGUAUUCACCGACGACGUCGCUAUCGCCUUGGCUGGGAUCAAAUUGAUCCGCGAUAGUAUUUUCUGAAGCUUCCGGCACUGCUCACGCUGUGUUUAGAGUUGCGAUGGCUGAGAAUCAUAGUGUGAGCUAUCGUCGUUUUUGAAUUAAUAAAAAGAUCUUGAAAUGAUAAAAAAAUGUGUUUCAGCAUGCGUCGCUGUACGCGCGCUCUAUAGGAAUUAAAGC